rnacentral:lncRNA from 1 species
GAUACUUCACUUCAAAAAAUGUUUAUUGCCUUAAAGAUAUAUUACGGUCUUAGACAAAUUAUACAUUCUGUACUUCUGUUUCAAAACAACAAAUAAGCUAUCGUCUAUUACAUAUCUUUGGUCAUAAUAAGCAGAAUAUGGGCUGGUCUUUCAAUUUGAAUUACAUUAUGUCACAUGAGUAUCAUUCCCAACAGAAUUGGUUUUAGAAAGCUGCUCAAAGCAGAACCCAGAAAGUUCCUGACUUAAUUGGAAAACCUAGGAAUGCACCUGAUAUUUACUUCUGGGACACAAAUUGUAUACAUAACCACACACUUAAAAACUUAUUCAUCUGUUUCACUUAUUACUCAGUUCAUUCAGAAUAUUCUUUUUUUUGACAAUCACUGUAAUUCAUUACAUACUAAAAAUAACACCAUAUUUAUGCACAAAUAAAUUAAUUUUCCCAGUAAGAGCUAAUCUUCCUUUAAGAAGAUUCCCCACAUAUUCACAGUACAUAAUAUCACAGAACACCCAUAUCUGGCCUAAAUGUCUCUG